AUACGGAGGAUCCGAGCGUUAUCCGGAUUUAUUGGGUUUAAAGGGUGCGCAGGCGGGAGAUUAAGUCGGCGGUGAAAUUUUUCGGCUCAACUUUAAAAGUGUCUUCGAAACUGGUUUUCUUGAGUGUAAAUGAAGUAGGCGGAAUUUGUGGGGUAGGGGUGAAAUGCAUAGAUAUCACGAGGAACUCCGAUUGCGCCGGCAGCUUACUAAACUACUACUGACGCUCAGGCACGAAGGCGUGGGGAUCAAACAGGAUUAGAUACCCUGGUAGUCCACGCAGUAAACGAUGAUUACUAGCUGUUUGCGAUACAAUGUAAGCGGCUGAGCGAAAGCGUUAAGUAAUCCACCUGGGGAGUACGUUCGCAAGAAUGAAACUCAAAUGAAUUGACGGGG
rnacentral:rRNA from 1 species